UGAAUAAAAAAGAAAAAUAGAAAAGGAACUAGAUCAUGAAUCUCUUUCUGUUUCCUUAUCAUGAGCUCUCCCUCAUAAAGAAAAUUCUCUCUCUCCUGUUUGCAUUCAUCUUGAGGAUGAAUUAAAAGCAAACAGGAAAACGAGAGAGAAUUUCUUUGGGAGAGCGAAUUAUGAUAAGGAAACGAAUCCAGCAUUAAUUUUUUCUUCAUUUGAAAAUGAAAAAUAGAAAAAAUUAAUAUUAUGCUGGAUUCAAUCAAGAGUCCAAAUUUCUUUUAUUCAUUUUCUUGAU
rnacentral:ribozyme from 11 species